rnacentral:rRNA from 1 species
CUACGGAGGGUCCGAGCGUUAUCCGGAAUCAUUGGGUUUAAAGGGUCCGUAGGCGGGAAUCUAAGUCAGUGGUGAAAUCUUGCAGCUCAACUGUAAAAUUGCCAUUGAUACUGGAUUUCUUGAAUUAGUGUGAAGUGGUUAGAAUGUGUAGUGUAGCGGUGAAAUGCAUAGAUAUUACACAGAAUACCAAUUGCGAAGGCAGAUCACUAACACUAUAUUGACGCUGAGGGACGAAAGCGUGGGGAGCGAACAGGAUUAGAAACCCUAGUAGUCC